rnacentral:tRNA from 1 species
GGUAAAAUGGCUGAGAGAAUAGGCAAUAAAUUGUAAAUUUAUUUACGGAUUAAAAUCCUUUUAUCA